rnacentral:lncRNA from 1 species
AGCCCACGAACCUCUUAUAAACCGCUAAUGCGGAUGGUCUUAGUCCGUUUCUUUUUCAAAUUUUUAUAAGAAAAUAAUAUUUUUAUUAAUUCCAAAAUCUCAUUCAUAUGACAUAUAUACCAAUUUAUAACACGGGUUUGAAACAUAAUCAAUGACCAACAACUUAUUGACCUCGAAUUUGCAAGGCAACAUAGAUAAUCUAUCUGAAACAGUUCCGGAUCAGAUAUUUUCUUGGAUUCCUUUUU